UUUCAAUCUUUUUGAAUCAUAUCGAAGGAUAUUGAAUGAUAUCGAGAUAUUAUCAUAAUUUUUACAGAUCGAAACAAGAUACUGACAUAAACAUGAUAUGUAUUAAAAGUCACAUCCAGAUAAUUUUAUGUCCUGCUUUAAUGUGUAUAUAUGUAUAUAUAUAUAUAUAUAUAUAUAUAUAUAUAUAUAUAUAUAAUCACUGUUAAGUAUAUUACAAAAAAUAAAAUUACUAGAACGUAUUAUAUUCUUUGCCUAUAAUUUCAGUAAUUUUAUUCUUUAUUUAGAUAUAAUUUUAGUGUAUUUAGAUAUCAUACUUUGUUUAAAUAUUUAUUAUUUCUUACAAUGUCGCGCGAUGUAUCGAUCGAUUCAAGUGAUAUUGAACGCGUAGCUUCGAACAACGAAACGACUGGUACCGUUGCUAACAAUACGACAAAUUCCGCAACGCAAUUGCAGAUAAUUGCGGCUCAAAACUCUUACGUCGAGACGUGCCACCAGGAAUAAACCGGUUGAAUUUUCCGGGACAUCGCUUACCUCAUAGUAUAAGAGGCGACAGCUGUUGCUAGAUCAGAUGCCGUAAGAGCGGAUAACGAUCCAUCAAAAUCAGCGGCAAGGUGCUCCGCGAGUUCCUCCACUUGCGUGGACCAGCCUUGGCCGGAGCCAUUGCUUCCGAUGGAUCCUGAAACACAAGCCAAACAAAUCGUACAAAUCAUUCGUUUCUUCUUUCAUUAUAUAUUUUCCUUUUAUUUUAAGCUGGAAUUUUACGAUUUCUUCAAUGAUUAGCUU